rnacentral:rRNA from 1 species
AUUGAACGCUGGCGGCAGGCCUAACACAUGCAAGUCGAGCGAGCGGCGGGCGGGUAAGUAAUAGCUGGGUACCUGCCUGAUGGGGUGGGAUAACUCCUGGAAACGGUAGCUAAUACCCCGUACCAUUCAGUGUGCCCAGAUGGGAUUGGCUAGUGGGGUGGGUGAUGGCUCACCUAGGCGACGAUCCCUAGCUGGGCUGAGAGGAUGACCAGCCACACUGGAACUGAGACACGGUCCAGACUCCUACGGGAGGAAGCAGUGGGGAAUAUUGGACAAUGGGCGCAAGCCUGAUGCAGCCAUGCCGCGUGUGUGAAGAAGGCCUUCGGGUUGUAAAGCACUUUCAGUGGGGAGGCGUUACCCGCAGAAGAAGCACCGGCUAACUACGUGCCAGCAGCCGCGGUAAUUC